rnacentral:rRNA from 1 species
AUUGAACGCUGGCGGUAUGCUUAAGACAUGCAAGUCGAACGGUAACAGACCUUCGGGUGCUGACGAGUGGCGGACGGGUGAGUAACACGUGGGAAUCUACCUUGUAGUGGGGGAUAAGCCAGGGAAACUUGGACUAAUACCGCAUACGCCCUAAGGGGGAAAGGAGCAAUUCGCUAUAAGAUGAGUCCGCGUCUGAUUAGCUAGUUGGUGAGGUAAAGGCUCACCAAGGCGACGAUCAGUAGCUGGUCUGAGAGGAUGGCCAGCCACAUUGGGACUGAGACACGGCCCAGACUCCUACGGGAGGCAGCAGUCGGGAAUAUUGGACAAUGGGGGCAACCCUGAUCCAGCAAUACCGCGUGUGUGAAGAAGGCCUGCGGGUUGUAAAGCACUUUUAGUAGGGAAGAUAAUGACGUUACCUACAGAAAAGACACCGGCUAACUCCGUGCCAGCAGCCGCGGUAAAGCACG